GCUGGGAUAGCUCAGUUGGAAGAGCAUGAGACUCUUAAUCAUGGGUUCAAGCCCCCAAAAAUUCCUGCA